AAGCAAGAGCAAGAGAGAGAAAAAGCAAGAACAAGAGAGAGAAAGAAAGCAAGAAAAAGAACAAGAACAAGAAAGCAAGAGAGAGAAAGCAAGAGAAGAGAGAGAAAGCAAGAACAAGAGAGAGAGAGAGAAUGGCAAAACCCCGUCCCUUUUAAGGAGAAUUAUCCUCCGCCUAGGACGUAUUACUCCCUGAUUGGCUGCAGCCCAUCAGCCCAGUUGUCAUCACGAGAAAGGCAGAACACAUGGCGGGAAAACUGCCCCUGCACGUGUGCAGAUUAUGUUUACCACUUAGAACACAGCUGUCAGCUCCAUCUUAUAAUGGCAAAUGUGAGGGCGGCUCCUCACAGAAAGAAAUGCAGGCCGGGCGUGGUGGUGCAUGCCUUUAAGCCCAGCACUUGGGAGGCAGAGGCAGGCAGAUUUCUGAGUUUGAGGCCAGCUUGGUCUACAGAGUGAGUUCCAGGACAGCCAGGGCUAACACAGAGAAACCCUGUCUUGAAAACACAAAACAAAAGCAAAAACAAAAACAAAAACAAAAACAGAAAUGCAGGGAUGGAGCAGAGACUGAGGGAAUAACCAAUCAAUAACUGGCCAAGCUUAAGACCCAUCGCAUGGGCAAGCAGCAGUCCCUGACACAAUGAUAUUCUGUUAUGCUUGCAGACAGGAGCCUAGCAUAACUGUCCUCUGAGAGGCUCCACCCAGCAGCUAACCUAAACAGAUGCAAAGACCAACAGCCAAACAUUAUAUGGAGCUUGGGGACUCUUUUAUUUUUUAAACAUUUAUUUAUUUUUUAUUUAUAUGAGUACACUUCAGCUAUCUUCAGAUACACGCACUAGAAGAGUGCAUUAGAUCUUAUUACAGAUGGUUGUGACCCACCAUGUGGUUGCUGGGAAUUGAACUCAGGACCUCUGGCAGAGCAGUCAGUGCUCUUAACCACUGAGCCAUCUCUCCAGCCCCGAGCUUGGGGACUCGUAAGGAAGCGUUUGAGAGAGAUUGAGGGCCCCAAAGGGGAUAGGAACUCCACAGGAAGACCAACAGAGUUAAGUAACCUAGACCCUUCAGGGCUCCCAGAGACUGAGCCACCAACCAAAGGGAGAGUAUGGGUGGACCUAGGCCUCCUGAGCAUACUUAGCAGAUGUGUAGCUUGGUCUUCAUGCAGGUCCCCCAAGAACUGGAGUGGGGUCUGUCCCUGAAUCUGUUGCCUGCCUGUGGAUCCCAUUCCCUUAACUUGUCUGGUCUCAGUGGGAGAGGAUGCGCCUAGUCCUGCAGUGACUUGAUGUGCCAGGGUGGGAUGAGACCCAGGGCAACUCCUCUUCUCAGAGGAGAAGGAAAGGGGGGAUGGGAAGAGAAGCUGUGUGACUGAAGGACUGGGAGGGGGCAGAUAUUCCGAUGUAAAGUGAAUAGAUAAAUAAUGGAAAAAUGUAAUCUUAUAAAAAAAAAUCUUUAAAAGCCACAAAUCUAAACACACACACACACACACACACACACACACACACACAGUCAUUACUACUUUAAGUCUUCAAAGUGCACACCUACUCAUUAACAGUUUUUUAUUUAUUAAAUCAUACUAGGAAGCUGAGGGCAAAAAUAGGUACAAGAAAUCAGUCAUCACCUUGAUCAGCAGCCCAGCAUUUCAGCCAGUACUAGUCUGGCUGCAAUUGCUCUUGUUUCCUGACCUCAACUAUUAAGAGUGUAUCUUUGUGAACUUUAAAUCGUUCUCCAAGAGCAUUUUAACAAAUGCAUCUUAACCUAACAGUUUACAUCUCUAAAUUCUCUCUAAGGUUGGUGGUUGUUACUAACACUCUC
rnacentral:lncRNA from 1 species